GGCCCCGUCGUCUAGCCAGGAAGGAUGCGGGUCUGCGGAACCCGUGGGCCCGGGUUCAAAUCCCGGCGGGGCCGCCA
rnacentral:tRNA from 1 species